rnacentral:lncRNA from 1 species
UUAUUGUUGUUAAGUCUUCAUACUAAUGUUUAGUGUUGAAGAAUCGUUGGUAUUCAUGUUUUUUUCUAAGUGUUUAAGUUUGUUUAAAAGUAUUGGCGAUUUAGUGAAGUUGAUGAGCAAUAGCAAUAUUGGCAACUCAGUGAUGAUGUACAACACUAUUUUCAUAUAAGUAUUUACGUUUUUUUCAUGAUGAAGAUUUUUAUUUUAUUUUAAAAAGGGUGUGUUUCUCUCAUAAAUUUCAUGUGCAUUUUGCCAAAUAACUUUUGGUAGUGUAAUAGUCAUAGUCAUAGUCAUUUAUUAUAAUAGUCAUGUAGGUUGCAUUUGUAAUAAUUAUCGUUUCUCAAACAUGUAAUAUUUGCAAUAUUGAUAGUUUGGAAUGAGUUUUUUUUUUAAUUUUAUUAUUUGCAUCUAUAGGUUUUAAUAUUGUAGUUUUAUAAUGUUUAGCUUAUCUUAUUUACUGAUGGUAAAAAGGGGGGGAAGAAAACAAACAUUAUGCGAAAAUUUUAC